rnacentral:rRNA from 1 species
UCUUUAAGAAAUUACUUAAAGUAACACCUGCUCCAUGUCAUAAAUAGCCGCAGUCAACUGUGCUAAGGUAGCAUAAUCAUUAGUCUUUUAAUUGAAGAAUAGAAUGAAUGGUCAAACGAAGUAUCAAUUGUCUUUUAAAUAAUAUCCUAAACUUUCUUUUCUAGUAAAAAACCUAGAAAUCUUUAGAUAGACGACAAGACCCUGUCAAACUAUCCAUUUAGCUGGGGCGGCUAAAAAAAAAACCUUAAACAUAAAAAAACAUACCCUAACAAGAUAAGACAAGUUACUGCAGGGAUAACAGCGCAACUUUCUUUCAAAGCCCUCAUUAAAAAGAAAAACUACGACCUCGAUGUUGAAUUUAACUUUACUUCUGUAAGCUUACGAAGCAAAAAUCCAGAAAAGUUGGUCUGUUCGACCAUUAAAUAGU